UACGGGGGGGGCAAGCGUUGUCCGGAAUCAUUGGGCGUAAAGCGCGCGUAGGUGGUCCCGUAAGUCCGCUGUGAAAGUCAAAGGCUCAACCUUUGAAAGCCGGUGGAUACUGUGGGACUAGAGUACGGAAGAGGCGAGUGGAAUUCCUGGUGUAGCGGUGGAAUGCGCAGAUAUCAGGAGGAACACCAAUAGCGAAGGCAGCUCGCUGGGACGUUACUGACACUGAGGCGCGAAAGCGUGGGGAGCGAACAGG
rnacentral:rRNA from 1 species